rnacentral:rRNA from 1 species
GAUACCCUAACCGUGCGAAGGUAGCAUAAUCACUUGUUCUUUAAAUAAGGACUUGUAUCAACGGCACCACGAGGGUUAAACUGUCUCCUUUUUCAUAUCAGUGAAACUAAUCUCUCCGUGAAGAAGCGGGGAUGAUUCUAUAAGACGAGAAGACCCCAUGGAGCUUUAAACCCAACUACACUCCUUUUAACUUUACUUUUUAAUCUCUAGGACCCUGUACGUUCUGGUUUUAGGUUGGGGUGACCACGGAGCAUAAACUAGCCUCCAUAAUGAAUAGACUCCCUCUUUAUCCAAGACUUACACAUCUAAGAAUUAGUAUUCUAACAUAAAAUGAUCCGAUUAUUCGAUCAACGAACCAAGUUACCCUGGGGAUAACAGCGCAAUCUACUUCAAGAGCUCCUAUCGACAAGUGGGUUUACGACCUCGAUGUUGGAUCAGGGUAUCCCAGUGGUGCAGCAGCUACUAAAGGUUCGUUUGUUCAACGAUUAAAACCCU